UACGAAGGGGGCUAGCGUUGCUCGGAAUUACUGGGCGUAAAGGGCGCGUAGGCGGCUUAGUUAGUCAGGCGUGAAAUUCCUGGGCUCAACCUGGGGACUGCGCUUGAUACGGCUAGGCUAGAGGAUGGAAGAGGGUCGCGGAAUUCCCAGUGUAGAGGUGAAAUUCGUAGAUAUUGGGGGAGAACACCGGGUGGCGAAGGCGGCGACCUGGUCCAUUACUGACGGCUGAGGCG
rnacentral:rRNA from 1 species